rnacentral:rRNA from 1 species
UACAGAGGUCUCAAGCGUUGUUCGGAUUCAUUGGGCGUAAAGGGCGCGUAGGCGGCGGGGUAAGUCGGGUGUGAAAUCUCAGGGCUCAACCCUGAAACUGCACUCGAUACUGCUCUGCUUGAGGACUGGAGAGGAGACUGGAAUUCACGGUGUAGCAGUGAAAUGCGUAGAUAUCGUGAGGAAGACCAGUGGCGAAGGCGGGUCUCUGGACAGUUCCUGACGCUGAGGCGCGAAGGCCAGGGGAGCAAAGCGGGAU